UAGGGAAUCUUCCACAAUGGGUGCAAACCUGAUGGAGCAAUGCCGCGUGAGUGAAGAAGGUCUUCGGAUCGUAAAGCUCUGUUGUUAGAGAAGAACACGUGCUAGGUAGCUACUAGUGCCUUGACGGUAUCUAACCAGAAAGUCACGGCUAACUACGUGCCAGCAGCCGCGGUAAUACGUAGGUGACAAGCGUUGUCCGGAUUUAUUGGGCGUAAAGGGAGCGCAGGCGGUCUGUUUAGUCUAAUGUGAAAGCCCACGGCUUAACCGUGGAACGGCAUUGGAAACUGACAGACUUGAAUGUAGAAGAGGAAAAUGGAAUUCCAAGUGUAGCGGUGGAAUGCGUAGAUAUUUGGAGGAACACCAGUGGCGAAGGCGAUUUUCUGGUCUAACAUUGACGCUGAGGCUCGAAAGCGUGGGGAGCGAACAGGAUUAGAUACCCUGGUAGUCCACGCCGUAAACGAUGAGUGCUAAGUGUUGGGGGCUUUCCGGCCCUCGGUGCUGGAGCUAACGUAUUAAGCACUCCGCCUGGGGAUUACGACCGCAAGGUUG
rnacentral:rRNA from 1 species